UGCCGGUGUUGCCAGCUCGGGCACCGCUGCUCUCGUGUCCAUCAUCCGUGUGUCACACCGACUCGGGCAGCCUGUUACCGGAGCUCCCUGUUUGUGGUGUGGGGGUUAAUUAAUAACCUGCUGCUGAACCGAGGCUCCCGCAUCAGCUCCCAAUUAAUGAAUUAACUAAUCUCCCGAGGGAGGCGAGGAGCGAUUUCUGAUCCUGCUCCAGAGCAUUGCUGAAAAGGACAACAACUUGGUGCCCAUAG